UUCUGUAAGCCUGCGAAGGUGGCCUGUGAGGGUUGCUGGAGGUAUCAGAAGUGCGAAUGCUGACAUAAGUAACGAUAAUGCGGGUGAAAAGCCCGCACGCCGGAAGACCAAGGGUUCCUGUCCAACGUUAAUCGGGGCAGGGUGAGUCGACCCCUAAGGCGAGGCCGAAAGGCGUAGUCGAUGGGAAACAGGUUAAUAUUCCUGUACUUGGUGUUACUGCGAAGGGGGGACGGAGAAGGCUAUGUUAGCCGGGCGACGGUUGUCCCGGUUUAAGCAUGUAGGCGGAGGUUCCAGGUAAAUCCGGUACCUUUUAACGCUGAGGUGUGAUGACGAAGCACUACGGUGCUGAAGUAACAAAUGCCCUGCUUCCAGGAAAAGCCUCUAAGCAUCAGGUAACAUUGAAUCGUACCCCAAACCGACAC
rnacentral:rRNA from 1 species